AAAAGUCAUUGAGAUAGAUGAGAAGCCAGUUAUUUGCUUUUACUCUCUAAAACCAAUACCUCCAGAUACAGAAAUGUUGUAUGAUUAUGGGCCUGGUAACAUGUAUCCUUGGAGAAGAAAGAGGAAGUAAAGGAUAUUGAUGCCAGUUCUUGUGUGGAUGAUGAGGAUCAGAGUGAGGAGGAAAUAGAUGACAGUCAAGACAACCAGAAUUUCCAAACUGUGACUCCAGGGAAGAGGGAGGCAGUAUCUGAUAGUGGAUGCUCCAGAGAAAUGGAUGAGUCUUCAUCCAAACGACAGAUGUUACAGAAAAAGCCAUGGACUUCAUCUGAAAUGAACUCCAUUCACAAACAUUUUUCACACUUUAUUACCAUGUUGAAGGUACCUGGGAAAAAUGAUGUAACAAAUGAUU